rnacentral:rRNA from 1 species
GUGAAUUAGCGGCGAACGGGUGAGGAACACGUGAGGAAUCUGCCUUCUACACUGGGAUAACUCCGGGAAACCGGGGCUAAUACCGGAUAUGAAACUUGGUGGCAUCACCGAGUUUGGAAAGUUUUUCGGUAGAAGAUGACCUCGCGGCCUAUCAGCUUGUUGGUGAGGUAAUGGCUCACCAAGGCGACGACGGGUAGCCGGCCUGAGAGGGCGACCGGCCACACUGGGACUGAGACACGGCCCAGACUCC